CGUAGGCGGCUAGGUCAGUCAGAUGUGAAAGCCCCGGGCUUAACCUGGGAAUUGCAUUUGAUACUGCCUGGCUAGAGUAUGGUAGAGGGUAGUGGAAUUCCAGGUGUAGCGGUGAAAUGCGUAGAUAUCUGGAGGAACAUCAGUGGCGAAGGCGGCUACCUGGACCAAUACUGACGCUGAGGUGCGAAAGCGUGGGGAGCAAACA
rnacentral:rRNA from 1 species